UACAGAGGGUGCAAGCGUUAAUCGGAAUUACUGGGCGUAAAGCGCGCGUAGGUGGUUUGUUAAGUUGGAUGUGAAAGCCCCGGGCUCAACCUGGGAACUGCAUUCAAAACUGACAAGCUAGAGUAUGGUAGAGGGUGGUGGAAUUUCCUGUGUAGCGGUGAAAUGCGUAGAUAUAGGAAGGAACACCAGUGGCGAAGGCGACCACCUGGACUGAUGACUGACACUGAGGUGCGAAAGCGU
rnacentral:rRNA from 1 species